AGGUGAUUAAACAGCCAGGUCUCUCUCUCUACAGGUGAUUAAACAGCCAGGUCUCUCUCUACAGGUGAUUAAACAGCCAGGUCUCUCUCUGCAGGUGAUUAAACAGCCAGGUCUCUCUCUCUGCAGGUGAUUAAACAGCCAGGUCUCUCUCUCUACAGGUGAUUAAACAGCCAGGUCUCUCUCUACAGGUGAUUAAACAGCCAGGUCUCUCUCUGCAGGUGAUUAAACAGCCAGGUCUCUCUCUCUGCAGGUGAUUAAACAGCCAGGUCUCUCU